CGAGUGAGCGGCAAAAGCUCAAAUUUGAAAUCUGGUACCUUCGGUGCCCGAGAAGUAAUUUGGAGAGGGCAACUUUGGGGCCGUUCCUUGUCUAUGUUCCUUGGAACAGGACGUCAUAGAGGGUGAGAAUCCCGUGUGGCGAGGAGUGCGGUUCUUUGUAAAGUGCCCUCGAAGAGUCGAGUUGUUUGGGAAUGCAGCUCUAAGUGGGUGGUAAAUUCCAUCUAAAGCUAAAUAUUGGCGAGAGACCGAUAGCGAACAAGUACAGUGAUGGAAAGAUGAAAAGAACUUUGAAAAGAGAGUGAAAAAGUACGUGAAAUUGUUGAAAGGGAAGGGCAUUUGAUCAGACAUGGUGUUUUGUGCCCUCUGCUCCUUGUGGGUAGGGGAAUCUCGCAUUUCACUGGGCCAGCAUCAGUUUUGGUGGCAGGAUAAAUCCAUAGGAAUGUAGCUUGCCUCGGUAAGUAUUAUA
rnacentral:rRNA from 1 species